rnacentral:tRNA from 1 species
GCCGGGAUGGCGGAAUUGGUAGACGCGCCGGAUUCAAAAUCCGGUGAUGGUGACAUUGUGUGGGUUCGAGUCCCACUCUCGGUACCA